UACGUAGGUGGCAAGCGUUGUCCGGAAUUACUGGGUGUAAAGGGAGCGCAGGCGGGAAGCCAAGUCAGCUGUGAAAACUACGGGCUUAACUUGUAGACUGCAGUUGAAACUGGUUUUCUUGAGUGAAGUAGAGGUUGGCGGAAUUCCGAGUGUAGCGGUGAAAUGCGUAGAUAUUCGGAGGAACACCGGUGGCGAAGGCGGUCAACUGGGCUUUAACUGACGCUGAGGCUCGAAAGUGUGGGGAGCAAACAGG
rnacentral:rRNA from 1 species